rnacentral:rRNA from 1 species
CCUACGGGUGGCAACAGUGGGGAAUAUUGCGCAAUGGGCGAAAGCCUGACGCAGCGACGCCGCGUGAGGGAUGAAGGUCUUCGGAUCGUAAACCUCUGUCAGCAGGGAAGAACGGUCACUGUGCUAAUCAGCAGUGAAUUGACGGUACCUGCAAAGGAAGCACCGGCUAACUCCGUGCCAGCAGCCGCGGUAAUACGGGGGGUGCGAGCGUUGAUCGGAAUUACUGGGCGUAAAGCGCUCGUAGGCGGUAUGUCAAGUCAAGGGUGAAAUCCCCGCGCUCAACGUGGGAACUGCCUUUGAAACUGGCAAACUGGAGUGUGUGAGAGGAAAGUGGAAUUCGAGGUGUAGGAGUGAAAUGCGUAGAUAUCUGGAGGAACAUCAGUGGCGAAGGCGACUAUCUGGCACACAACUGACGCUGAGGAGCGAAAGCGUGGGUAGCAAACAGGAUUAGAUACCCUUGUAGUC